AGGCAGGCCAAUCACUUGGGGCCAGGAGUUCGAGACCACCCUGGCCAAAUAGCGAAUCCCUGUCCCUACUCAAAAAUACAAUUAAUUGGGUGAGGGCGGGUGUGGUGGCUCACGCCUGUAAUCCCAGCGCUUUGGGAGGCCGAGGCGGGCAGAUCACGAGGUCAGGAGAUUGAGACCAUCCUGGCUAACAAGGUGAAACCCUAUCUCUACUAAAAAAUACAAAAAUUAGCGGGGCGUGGUGGCGGGCGCCUGUCGUCCCAGCUAUUUGGGAGGCUGAGGCAGGAGAAUGGCGUGAACCUGGGAGGCGGAGCUUGCAGUGAGCCGAGACGGCGCCACUGCACUCCAGCCUGGGUGACAGAGCGAGACUCUGUCUCAAAAAAAAAAAAAAAAAAAAAAAAAUUAGUUGGGUGUGGUGGCACUUGCCUGUAAUCCUAGCUUCUUGGGAGGCUGAGGCACGAGAAUCACUUGAACCCGGGGCAGAGGUUGCAGUGAGCCAAGAUAGCACCACUGCACUCCAGCCUGGGUGACAGAGCGAGACGCUGUCUCAAAAAAAAAAAAAAAAAAAAAAAAAAAAAAAAGGAUGGGGUAAAGGGCACCCUGCACAACUGCUAUGCAUCUCAAUAGUAAAGGCAAAAGGGAAUUAAUGCAUAUCACAGUUAUCUACAAUACUUGACUCUGCUUUUCUGGAAUUUAUAAACAAACAUUCAAUUAGAAUUCUGGGUCAUGCUGUAAUUCCAACUAGCCUUUGUCAGUUACAUAGGUGCCGUUUUACAUUUCCAUAUUUUACCCCAGAGGAUUUAUUUUUCACUUCUAAUAGAGAUGCAUCAAGUUUGUGUUGGGGAUCAGGAAUUAGCCGAGCGACGCAGAUGGCCUUCAUAAACCCCUGCUGCCACCUUGUGGUGUUGCUGAGGAGCGACAGAAACGUACCUAUCAGGCUUCCUGCAACGUUUUGCUCUACCUGCAACCCUACAACCUGAUAGGGGCCUUGUUAAUUCAACUGGGAUGAGGACAAUUCAGAUCAACCCGAUUAUCUGGGCAGAGAACAAACACUCUGUGAACAACAACCAUUGACUUUCAGAGGGAAUACCAGACCUCUCCCAAGAAAGGGGAACCCACUUCAAAUAUUUACUGUCUCAUUGUGGAACCCGACAGGAUUCGCUUCAAUUCUGAGUAAUCCUCCUUUAAGAUCCCCUGCAGCAGGUGGAUGAUGGUGUCUUAGUUUUGUCUCCAUGGUUCACACAUCAUGGGAAGCAGAUUAGAUGAGUGAGAAAUACUCAUUUUUCUCAUCAAGUAUGCUCACCCCUGCCUCCCAGUAGAGCUAAGAAAUGAUCUGAAAGAUGGAGAUUGGAAAGCAUUGCAGGCAGAAGUAGAGCACGUGCAAAGGCC
rnacentral:lncRNA from 1 species